rnacentral:rRNA from 1 species
AGUCGAACGGCAGCGCGGGGCAACCUGGCGGCGAGUGGCGAACGGGUGAGUAAUAUAUCGGAACGUACCCUGGAGUGGGGGAUAACGUAGCGAAAGUUACGCUAAUACCGCAUACGAUCUAAGGAUGAAAGUGGGGGAUCGCAAGACCUCAUGCUCCUGGAGCGGCCGAUAUCUGAUUAGCUAGUUGGUGGGGUAAAGGCCUACCAAGGCAUCGAUCAGUAGCUGGUCUGAGAGGACGACCAGCCACACUGGGACUGAGACACGGUCCAGACUCCUACGGGAGGCAGCAGUGGGGAAUUUUGGACAAUGGGCGAAAGCCUGAUCCAGCAAUGCCGCGUGAGUGAAGAAGGCCUUCGGGUUGUAAAGCUCUUUUGUCAGGGAAGAAACGGGUUUUUCUAAUACAGAGACCUAAUGACGGUACCUGAAGAAUAAGCACCGGCUAACUACGUGCCAGCAGCCGCGGUAAU